AUGCCAAUGUAGAUCGUAUCCGAUACAUACAACACUUCUAAGGAAGAAAAACUUGUGAACAGCAUGUCUGCUGAUAGAGCCGUCCGGACUUAUCACGACUUCUCGAAUAAUCACAACAAUGAGGAAUUCCUCAUUCUACUAGUUACUCCGAAUAAAUAUACCAGUAUUUGGUAAAAGUUUAGUGAAAUCCUUGUCAUUACUACGCAGUUUCAAACUCUAGCAUUGCACUUGUAGCUUGAUUUUCUUCAAUCCUUCUUUCUGUCUAUUUAAAUGUACAGAUGUUGAAAACAUUUCAAUUUCACCAGGCGUUCGUGAAGCGUCAGCAGCGAUGGUGGAUGUUAGAUAACAUGCAGUGUAAUGUGGCUCCGACGUACACAACCCAGUUCGUGAUCAGUGUGAGGAAAUCCGGAGGAACAUGAAGGGGUUUAGUCAAAGCAUGCGUUCGAGUCGAAUGCAUUUGAGAAUCGGGAAUUGAAGAAGUUUGGGACGGACACGUGAAAAUCAGCCAGCUGAACUUCGUGUCGCUUCAUGUGAAACUCCGUAACUGCCCAGGGUCGCAACCCCUUGUUCUUUCUCUCUGUAUUCACUUCUCUUUCCCAUUUGGUUUGCAAUUUCUUGAAGCUGGGUUUAGGAGUGAAUUGUUUCGUCAGGAAUCACAUAACGAACUGUUCUGCGCAAGCAUGGGUGUGAUCAGUGGGGUGCAAGGCACAAAGCAGACGCAAUCGCUCCUUUGAGACAUUCACAGUCAACACGAGUGGGCGGGAGAGGCUUGGACAUGUGCAUGACAGGCUGGACCCACGAUAAGUUUCGUUUUGAACUCUGAUUCCUACCCAACUUUUCACGACGUCCUAAUUCUGACUUGACCAAAACUAUUUUAUCAAGAGCUGGAUUCCAUGCUCUGGUGUCAUCUUGUACAACUCAGCAUGUAUUCACUUGCAUUUGUUUGAUUAUUCGUUUAUUUAUUUGUGUGUUGUUUAGAUUGUAAAAUGAAGUAAAAUGAGUAGAGUAAGUUAGAGAUUCGUAUUUUUUUUCAAGAUUUUUGUUUUUCUUUUUUUUCUUUUUUUUCUUUUUUUUUAUUUCUUUUGUGUGGGUAAUAUAUCUGAACAAAUGUUAUGUUUGUUUAGUGUUCUUUUUCCAUAGAAUGAAGCAUACUGGUCUGAAUUUUAAUC